GGCACUAUAGCCAAGUGGUUACGGCGACAGAUUCGAAUUGCGAUAUCUGUUUCCCUUCGGGAGCGCAGGUUCGAAUCCUGCUGGUGUCG